UACAGAGGUCUCAAGCGUUGUUCGGAUUCAUUGGGCGUAAAGGGUGCGUAGGCGGCGCGGUAAGUCGGGUGUGAAAUCUCGGAGCUUAACUCCGAAACUGCAUUUGAUACUGCCGUGCUUGAGGACUGGAGAGGAGACUGGAAUUUACGGUGUAGCGGUGAAAUGCGUAGAUAUCGUAAGGAAGACCAGUGGCGAAGGCGGGUCUCUGGGCCGAUACUGACGCUGAGGAGCGAAAGCGUGGGGAGCGAACAGG
rnacentral:rRNA from 1 species